rnacentral:rRNA from 1 species
GAUGAACGCUGGCGGCGUGCUUAACACAUGCAAGUCGAACGGAAAGGCCAGUGCUUGCACUGGUGCUCGAGUGGCGAACGGGUGAGUAACACGUGGGUGAUCUGCCCUGCACUUUGGGAUAAGCCUGGGAAACUGGGUCUAAUACCAGAUAGGACCAUGCUUUGGAUGGUGUGGUGGAAAGUUUUUUCGGUGUGGGAUGAGCUUGCGGCCUAUCAGCUUGUUGGUGGGGUAAUGGCCUACCAAGGCGUCGACGGGUAGCCGGCCUGAGAGGGUGUACGGCCACAUUGGGACUGAGAUACGGCCCAGACUCCUACGGGAGGCAGCAGUGGGGAAUAUUGCACAAUGGGCGCAAGCCUGAUGCAGCGACGCCGCGGGGGGGAUGACGGCCUUCGGGUUGUAAACUCCUUUCGCAACUGACGAAGCUUUUUGUGACGGUAGGUUGAGAAGAAGCACCGGCUAACUACGUG